UAAUGGAUUGUUCUAAUUACUUAUAUAUUACAUGUAGGCUGAUAGAAAUUAAUUAAAUCCUUCUUCCAGUUUACAAUGCGGGCAUGGCAGAGGACAUGGUAAUAAUAUUUUAGUUGGUGGAGAUCCAAAUUCAGAAAAGCAUUUACUGUCGUUACAUUCUUUAAACUGAUAAUCACGUCGCCAGAGUUUCGUAUUAGUUCUAAUUAAAGCAAAGAUAUGGACUCAAAAUAAACUCCAUCACUUAAGUUUACACAAAUAUCUCGAUUAUCUAUACUUCUUGGCUUUCAAAAAUAAAGAACAAACAAGCAAACACUCAUGACCCAAGAUUUUCGGAUGGUUCAGCGCAAAAUACAAUUAACCAACGAGGUAUUUGGUUCGUAUCCUCACAGCAAAUAUCACUUAACUAAUACUGGAUGAGGUGAUGUCUUUGUGUGGUUAUUAUCGAGUGUCAUUAAAGUAUCACAUGGAAUAGGGACGAGGAGAAGCAAGGGGCAGGAGGGUGAAGUACAGGCGUAUAAGCAACACCCGAGGAACAAAACUGAAUUGAGUGUGUUCUGAACUCCAUCGAAUUGCAAACAUGGACGACUCGUGAUUGACGGCAGGACAAACAUUCCAACGACUGUUAUUUGAAACUAGGUAACUACAUAUACUGAAUACACUCUUCCAAUUAUGCACUAGAAAAUGAUCAUGUACACCUAGACCCCGGAAGAUGGAGUGCAAAAGCCUAAUUUACUUAAGCCAUGUUAGUACAGUACACAAGCAUUACAUUUACAGGGAGUAGGUAGCCAGACACCCGACGCUACGGACGUAAAUCACUACCGGUGGAGUUUUUUCUAUCUCCGCUUCGCCCCUGAGCUGCCUCCUUCUCAAAACAAAAGGAUAAAUAGAUACAAAAAAUAAAUGAAACUCCGUGAGGCGUUGUAUCAUACUCCGGGCAGAGGGGAACAACUGGGGCUGUAAUGAACAGACGUAUGAUACUUCAGAGCAGGAAGCGAGGGAGAGACGCUCGCGCAAUUGAGGCAACACACAAGGGUUCGUGCCUCCAUAUUUACGAAGAACUUCCAUGCAGCUGCGACCAUUAUCCACUUGAUCCAUCUGGCGGUACCCUUGUCAGCCAUCAACCCGCCCCCUCGUGGAAGCAAUGGGGCAUGUACUCCACCUGACCCGGGCUCCUACAAGUUUAUGGAAGACAAUGCAACAAGUUAAAGCCCACUGUAGUUCCGACCACCUGCAGCCACCCCCAGACGCCGCGGCUGUUGUCUAAGUGCAGCCUCACCACCAGGAUGCACCCACACGAAAAGUCCUGCGCAUACCUCCCGCACAAUAUACUCGUCCCUCACUACUGCUUGUUUCUCGGCCUCUACAGAACCCCUUACAUCUUAUAUACAUGUUUCUAGCUCAUCAUCAGCCAAAUCAGUGAAUGGGGCAUACAAAUAAAGACACGUAAUAUGCA